GUGGCCAAUGAUGAUUUAAGAAUUGCCUACAUUGCCUGAUGUUUGUGCAAUGACUGAUGUUGAAUAUUAUUGAGGCCUAU
rfam:Citrus clementina cultivar Clemenules unplaced genomic scaffold scaffold_2, whole genome shotgun sequence.